rnacentral:rRNA from 1 species
AUUGAACGCUGGCGGCAAGCCUAACACAUGCAAGUCGAACGAGUGGCGGACGGGUGAGUAAUGUCUGGGAAACUGCCUGAUGGAGGGGGAUAACUACUGGAAACGGUAGCUAAUACCGCAUACCAUCGGAUGUGCCCAGAUGGGAUUGGCUAGUAGGUGGGGUAAAGGCUCACCUGGGCGACGAUCCCUAGCUGGUCUGAGGGGAUGACCGGCCACACUGGAACUGCGAGACGGGCCAGACUCCUGCGCGAGGCAGCAGUGGGGAAUAUUGCACAAUGGGCGCAAGCCGGAUGCAGCCAUGCCGCGUGGAGGAAGAAGGCUUUAGGGUUGUAAAGUACUUUCAGCGGGGAGGAGUUACCCGCAGAAGAAGCAACGGCUAACUCCGUGCCAGCAGCCGCGGUAAUUC